rnacentral:rRNA from 1 species
GUGCUUAACACAUGCAAGUCGAGUGCACAGUUCCUGUAGCAAUACAGGAACGGGUGCACGGCGCACGGGUGCGUAACACGUGGGCAAUCUGCCCUCCGAUGGGGAAUAACCCCGCGAAAGCGGGGCUAAUUCCGCAUAACAUUCCCUGGACUGCGGUCCGGGGACUCAAAGCCGUAAGGCGUCGGAGGAGGAGCCCGCGCCCGAUUAGCUAGUUGGUAGGGUAACGGCCUACCAAGGCAAUGAUCGGUAGCUGGUCUGAGAGGAUGGCCAGCCACACUGGAACUGAGACACGGUCCAG